rnacentral:rRNA from 1 species
AUGCAAGUCGAGCGCCCCUCCUUCAAGCGAGCUUGGAGGAUUGCGGAGCGGUCUUUUGCGCGGGCGCAAGCUCGUUGCGGAAGCCGUUUCGAGGUCGAGCGGAGCCGAAAGGCUCGCUUGAUGGAGGGGAGCGGCAGACGGGAGAGUAACACGUGGGAACGUACCCUUUGGUUCGGAACAACCCAGGGAAACUUGGGCUAAUACCGGAUAAGCCCUUACGGGGAAAGAUUUAUCGCCGAAGGAUCGGCCCGCGUCUGAUUAGCUAGUUGGUGGGGUAAUGGCCCACCAAGGCGACGAUCAGUAGCUGGUCUGAGAGGAUGAUCAGCCUCACUGGGACUGAGACACGGCCCAGACUCCUACGGGAGGCAGCAGUGGGGAAUAUUGGACAAUGGGCGCAAGCCUGAUCCAGCCAUGCCGCGUGGGUGAUGAAGGCCCUAGGGUUGUAAAGCCCUUUCGGCGGGGAAGAUAAUGACGGUACCCGCAGAAGAAGCCCCGGCUAACUUCGUGCCAGCAGCCGCGGUAAUACGAAGGGGGCUAGCGUUGCUCGGAAUCACUGGGCGUAAAGCGCACGUAGGCGGAUUGUUAAGUCAG